CCUACGGGAGGCAGCAGUGAGGAAUAUUGGUCAAUGGGCUUACGCCUGAACCAGCCAAGUCGCGUGAGGGAAGACUGCCCUAUGGGUUGUAAACCUCUUUUGUCAGGGAGCAACGCCGGCUACGUGUAGCCGGACUGAGAGUACCUGAAGAAAAAGCAUCGGCUAACUCCGUGCCAGCAGCCGCGGUAAUACGGAGGAUGCGAGCGUUAUCCGGAUUGAUUGGGUUUAAAGGGUGCGUAGGCGGAAUGCCAAGUCAGCGGUAAAAUCGCGGGGCUCAACCUCGCUCCGCCGUUGAAACUGGCGUUCUUGAGUGGGCGAGAAGUAUGCGGAAUGCGUGGUGUAGCGGUGAAAUGCAUAGAUAUCACGCAGAACUCCGAUUGUGAAGGCAGCAUACCGGCGCCCAACUGACGCUGAAGCACGAAAGCGUGGGUAUCGAACAGGAUUAGAUACCCUAGUAGUC
rnacentral:rRNA from 1 species